rnacentral:lncRNA from 1 species
GGCGCGGUGACGUCGCGGGUGCCCGGGCCGCGCCGUGGCUGUGGCGGCGGCGGCGGCUGUGGUAGUGACUGCGGCGGGGGCGCUUGGGCGGCAGUGGCAGCAACAGCCCCGAGGAGGGUGAGACGGCCGCGGUGGCGGCAGCUCGGAAGUCGGGCGGGACCUCGCGCUUCCCGCCUGUCGCUGGCGCUGAGGCUUCUGCUUCCCCUACUGGGUUUCUCGCCCCCGGCCCUGGCUGGGCAGGGCAGAGCGCCCCCGGGGAGGGGCGGAGCUGUAGGUGAGGCUUCGGGACCCCCU